GUAGUUGUGUAUGAGAGCAGGCGGUUGUAAUCCCGUGGGGGAAAAUCUCGCGAUAGCAGCAGAGCCAAUCAGAGUUCCUCUGUGUGACACACCGGUAGCAGGUGAAGCUGAUCAGAGAGAUAUGCGGCCUCAAUGGAUGACAUCAAGAAGAGGAACAUUAUACAGACCACCUGAGACAACAUCUUCUCUGUGAUGAAGCUCUGAGAACUGCAGGAUACCUGAAGCUGAUAUUACAGCCGCCGGAUGGAGACGAAGACAUCAAGAAAAUGCUGGAGGAGCAGCUGGAGAGCCACAGGGAGGCUCAUCAGAAGCAGCUCAGCCGCCUCCGAGACGAGACAAUCUCACAGAACUGCUGAAUGAACGAAGCGACUUGAAGAGCCUGGAGGAGACGAGAACUGGAUCGCAUGGAAGAAAGAUUUGUUAUCUUCCUUUGAACUGUUUAACCUGAACUGACUUUUGUAUAUUAUUAUUAUUAUAUUAUUUAUUACAUCUUCCAUUAUCGUCUGUAUCCUAAUCCUUCUGACAAGUGUUAAUUAUGGCUGUUAUAAUAAAUGAUUUUGUCUCUCCCUUACCUAAGCUACAUCUUAAUUGUAUUGUCAUAUACUUUACUAGCCUAAUUUGCCAGUUUAUCUGCUUGUUCAUUAUCUUUAACAUCUGACAAAACUCUUUACCCACCCUUUGUAAUCUUAAGAGCAUGAUGUGAAUUUCUAUCAUGAGAUCUGACUGUUAGCUUUGCCACAUUUUAUUUGGCUUCUCUGUAAUGUAAAUAGUUUUUUUUUUAUCUGUGUUGGCUUCCCAUCUAUUCAAACUUCUGUGUGUCUGUAAUUUCUAACUUUGAUACAAUACCUUGAAAGAUAUCAAUAUUUGAUACCAUGUUUAAUAAAAAAUGAGUCAACAUCGA